UACGUAGGUGGCAAGCGUUGUCCGGAAUUACUGGGUGUAAAGGGCGCGUAGACGGGAAUGCAAGUCAGAUGUGAAAUUCCUGAGCUCAACUUAGGAGCUGCAUCUGAAACUGUGUUUCUUGAGUGCUGGAGAGGAAAGCGGAAUUCCUAGUGUAGCGGUGAAAUGCGUAGAUAUUAGGAGGAACACCAGUGGCGAAGGCGGCUUUCUGGACAGUAACUGACGUUGAGGCGCGAAAGCGUGGGGAGCGAACAGG
rnacentral:rRNA from 1 species